rnacentral:misc_RNA from 1 species
AACGCACAUUGCGCCCUUUGGUAUUCCGAAGGGCAUGCCUGUUCGAGCGUCAUUAUCAACCAUCAAGCUCUGCUUGGCAUUGGGUGUCAACCCCCCCUAACCGGGAGGUCGCGCCUCAAACUGUUCGGCGGUGGCUCAGGGCCUCAAGCGUUAGUAAUACUUCCCGCUUCAGAGAAACUGAGACUCCUGCCUCUAGAAACCCACAUCUUAAGGUUGACCUCGGAUCAGGUAGGGAUACCCGCUGAACUUAA